UAAAACUUGGUACUAAGGCAGCUCCCACAA
rnacentral:piRNA from 1 species